rnacentral:rRNA from 1 species
AGAGUUUGAUCCUGGCUCAGGAUGAACGCUAGCGAUAGGCUUAACACAUGCAAGUCGAGGGGCAGCAUGGUCUUAGCUUGCUAAGACUGAUGGCGACCGGCGCACGGGUGCGUAACGCGUAUGCAACUUGCCUCACAGAGGGGGAUAACCCGUCGAAAGACGGACUAAUACCGCGUACACUCUAUGUUGGGCAUCCAAUGUAGAGGAAAUGAAAUUCGCUGUGAGAUAGGCAUGCGUCCCAUUAGCUAGUUGGUGAGGUAACGGCUCACCAAGGCGACGAUGGGUAGGGGAACUGAGAGGUUGAACCCCCACACUGGUACUGAGACACGGACCAGACUCCUACGGGAGGCAGCAGUGAGGAAUAUUGGUCAAUGGGCGAGAGCCUGAACCAGCCAAGUCGCGUGAAGGAUGACUGUCUUAUGGAUUGUAAACUUCUUUUAUACGGGAAUAACAAGAGCCACGUGUGGCUCCCUGCAUGUACCGUAUGAAUAAGCAUCGGCUAACUCCGUGCCAGCAGCCGCGGUAAUACGGAGGAUGCGAGCGUUAUCCGGAUUUAUUGGGUUUAAAGGGUGCGUAGGCGGCCUGUUAAGUCAGCGGUGAAAUCUAGGAGCUUAACUCCUAAAUUGCCAUUGAUACUGGCGGGCUUGAGUGUAGAUGAGGUAGGCGGAAUGCGUGGUGUAGCGGUGGAAUGCAUAGAUAUCACGCAGAACUCCGAUUGCGAAGGCAGCUUACUAAGGUACAACUGACGCUGAAGCACGAAAGCGUGGGUAUCAAACAGGAUUAGAUACCCUGGUAGUCCACGCAGUAAACGAUGAUAACUGGGCGUAUGCGAUAUACAGUAUGCUCCUAAGCGAAAGCGUUAAGUUAUCCACCUGGGGAGUACGCCGGCAACGGUGAAACUCAAAGGAAUUGACGGGGGCCCGCACAAGCGGAGGAACAUGUGGUUUAAUUCGAUGAUACGCGAGGUAACGAGCGCAACCCCUGUCUACGGUUGCCAUCAGGUAAUGCUGGGAACUCCGUAGAGACUGCCGUCGUAAGGCGUGAGGAAGGUGGGGAUGACGUCAAAUCAGCACGGCCCUUACAUCCGGGGCGACACACGUGUUACAAUGGUAAGGACAAAGGGCAGCUACCUGGCGACAGGAUGCGAAUCUCUAAACCUUAUCACAGUUCGGAUCGGAGUCUGCAACUCGACUCCGUGAAGCUGGAUUCGCUAGUAAUCGCGCAUCAGCCAUGGCGCGGUGAAUACGUUCCCGGGCCUUGUACACACCGCCCGUCAAGCCAUGGGAGUCUGGAGUACCUAAAGUCCGUAACCGCAAGGGUCGGCCUAGGGUAAUACAGGUGACUGGGGCUAAGUCGUAACAAGGUAGCCGUACCGGAAGGUGCGGCUG